rnacentral:rRNA from 1 species
AGUGAACGCUGGCGGCGUGCCUAAUACAUGCAAGUCGAACGGAGUGGCGCACGGGUGAGUAGUGUAUAGCUAAUCUGCCCGACACUAGAGGACAACAGUUGGACACGACUGCUAAUACUCUAUAGUGUAGGAUGAGGCUAUAUUGUAGCAGCUAGUUGGUGAGGUAGUGGCUCAACAAGGCUAUGACGCAUAACUGGUCUGAGAGGAUGAUCAGUAAAACCGGAACUGAGACACGGGCCAGACUCCUCCGGGAGGCAGCGGUAGGGAAUAGUGCUCAAUGGGGGAGACCCUGAAGCAGCAACGCCGCGUGGAGGAUGACUGUUUUCGGAGCGUAAACUCCUUUUGUUAGGGAAGCGGUACCUAACGAAUAAGCACCGGCUAACUCCGUGCCAGCAGCCGCGGUAAUUC